AGUUAGGAAAUGCAGGUGCGUUAAUAGCGCACUUGCUUGACUAAGGCUCCUGAGGAAGCCACGGCUAACUCUGUGCCAGCAGCCGCGGUAAUACAGAGGCGGCAAGCGUUGUUCGGAAUUAUUGGGCGUAAAGAGCACGUAGGCGGCCUUGCAAGUCAGUUGUGAAAGCCUUCCGCUUAACGGAAGAACGGCAUCUGAUACUACAGGGCUUGAGUACGGGAGGGGAGAGUGGAACUUCUGGU
rnacentral:rRNA from 1 species